rnacentral:lncRNA from 1 species
CUGCAAGUUUGUACUUUGUGUUCCUUUCAAAGUUAAAGACUAGUACCAUUAGUACUGAAAGUAAAGAUUAGUGCUUUCAAACCUCUUGACAGAGGACCAUGGUCUUUAAUGAAGUUUUCUUUUUCCUUUGUUAAAUUCUAGCUUCACAGUCCUAUUGUUCAAAAAAUGGUUAACCAAAGAAAGCAGUUGUUAUGCUGCUUCUUGGGACGCUUUCAAGGAAGUAGAUGGUGACCCAUCAUCUUACCGACUUUUGGGCAACGUUGCUGAUCUUAAAUUUCAAGAAAAUAAAGAAGAAUUUACAAAUUUACACAUGGCAUGUAUGGCAGAGGAAAGGGAUAUCUUCCAUUCCAGGAAGAAUGUGAAUGCGAUGAUCAGGUAGAGGCUUGGCUGCAACAACUUGAAGAAACU